UUUAUUUUAAAGGCAGAGUGACACACAGACGCAGACACAUGGGGUCGGGGGCUGGUGGGGGGGCAGGUCUUUUGUCUGCAGGUUCAUUCCCCAAAGGGCCACACAGUCAGGGCUGCGCCAGGCUGAAGCCGGGAGCCAGGAGCUCCAUCCGGGUCUCCCAGGUGUGUGGCAGGGGCCCAGAUACUUAGGCCAUCACUGCUGCCUGCCAGGGUGCGCAUCAGCAGGGAGCUGGAGUUGGAAGCAGGACCAGAACUGAAACCCGAGCAGGGUACCCCGCCAGGCUCGGAGCAGUCCCUGAGCACCCGGAGUCCGGCCAGCACCUGGGCGUACGUCCAGCAGCUGAAGGUCAUCGACAACCAGCGGGAGCUAUCCCGCCUGUCUCGGGAGCUGGAGCCAUGAUGCGAGCGGGGGCUGGAGCAGGCACUUCCCACGGGGAGACCAGGGCAGGGCUCCCCGUGGAGUGGACUGGAGGCCCCGGUGUGGGCAGCGUGGAGCUGCUGUCCCCUGUGAUGACUGGUGGCUGAGGAGGACUUCCGAGUGGAACCGUGGAGUGGGGGACGGAGAGACCCUGGCAUGGGCGGGGCUGGCGGGUCCGGGGCCGUCCAAUAGAGCUGUCCGCACCUGGCGCACUCCGGACUCUGCCUCUGCUCUGUCGUGCACUGAGACUGCGUGUGUGUGGCCUGGUUGGGUCCUCGGUGAGGAGCAGCAGUUGUGGGCAGGGCUCCGUCUGGGAGGGGCGGUCCCUGGGGGUCUUUCUUGUUUCUUCUGAGGCCGGUGUUGUGGAGGUGUGGCCGAGAAGGCUGGGCCCUGUGUUCUGGGACAGGGCACCCACAGGCUCAGUGACAAGCAGUCUUGGGAGCAAGCCCAGGGCCCCAGGGCAAGCCCCUGCCCACUCCCCCCAGCCCACCCCUGAGCUGAGCAGUCUGAGGGAGGGAGGAGAGGGGUAGAGAGACCCCUGCAGGGUCUGCGGCAUGGGGCUGGGCCCCUCUUCCCUCCGCUCUGCAGUCGCGGGCACCUGCUGCCAGCAGAGCUGGUCAGCAGUUGGUUAGGGCGUCCCCUCUAUGCCCCUACCCCCUCCCCCACGGCCUGCGGGAGGGGGCUUCUGAGGGAGGAGCCCCCUCCUGCAGGCAGAGCCAAGGCUGCUCCACCCCAGGUGGUGGACGCCUGUCAGCUGCUUCCUGAGGGUCAGCACUCCUGUGGGGGAGGCAGCACCUGGGACUGCACCUUC
rnacentral:lncRNA from 1 species